GGUUAAGUACAAGAGCGCACGGUGGAUGCCUUGGCACUAGGAGCCGAUGAA
rnacentral:rRNA from 1 species